AUUGAACGCUGGCGGCAGGCUUAACACAUGCAAGUCGAACGGUAACAGGUCUUCGGAUGCUGACGAGUGGCGAACGGGUGAGUAAUACAUCGGAACGUGCCUAGUAGUGGGGGAUAACUACUCGAAAGAGUGGCUAAUACCGCAUGAGAUCUACGGAUGAAAGCAGGGGAUCGCAAGACCUUGUGCUACUAGAGCGGCCGAUGGCAGAUUAGGUAGUUGGUGGGAUAAAAGCUUACCAAGCCGACGAUCUGUAGCUGGUCUGAGAGGACGAUCAGCCGCACUGGGACUGGGACACUGCCCAGGCUCCUACGGGAGGCUGCAGUGGGGAAUUUUGGACAAUGGGCGCAAGCCUGAUCCAGCAGUGCCGCGUGGAGGAUGAAGGCCUUCGGGUUGUAAACUGCUUUUGUACGGAACGAAAAGCCCUGGGUUAAUACCCUGGGGUCAUGACGGUACCGUAAGAAUAAGCACCGGCUAACUACGUGCCAGCCGCCGCCGUAAGAC
rnacentral:rRNA from 1 species